UACAGGGGGUGCAAACGUUGCUCGGAAUUAUUGGGCGUAAAGCGCGCGUAGGCGGCUACUUAAGUCGGAUGUGAAAGCCCUUGGCUCAACUGAGGAAGUGCACCCGAAACUGAGUGGCUAGAGUACGAAAGAGGGUCGCGGAAUUCCCGGUGUAGAGGUGAAAUUCGUAGAUAUCGGGAGGAACACCGGUGGCGAAGGCGGAUCUCUGGGCCAUUACUGACGCUGAGGAGCGAAAGCGUGGGGAGCGAACAGG
rnacentral:rRNA from 1 species